GAUAACAGGCUGAUCGCGCCCAAGAGUUCAUAUCGACGGCGCGGUUUGGCACCUCGAUGUCGGCUCGUCGCAUCCUGGGGCUGAAGAAGGUCCCAAGGGUUUGGCUGUUCGCCAAUUAAAGCGGCACGCGAGCUGGGUUCAGAACGUCGCGAGACAGUUCGGUCCUCUAUCCUCUGUGGGCGUAGGAGAGUUGAAGGGUUCAUUUCCUAGUACGAGAGGACCGGAAAUGACGCACCUCUGGUGUUCCAGUUGUUCUGUCAAGGGCACGGCUGGGUAGCUAAGUGCGGACUAGAUAAGCGCUGAAAGCAUCUAAGCGUCAAGCUAUUCCUAAGAUAAGCUCUCCCUGAAGGAUCGUCGAAGACUACGACGUCGAUAGGCUGCAGGUGUAAGUACAGUAAUGUAUUCAGCCGAGCAGUACUAAUCAUCCGUUUGGCUUGUUU
rnacentral:rRNA from 1 species